rnacentral:rRNA from 1 species
CCUACGGGAGGCAGCAGUGGGGAAUAUUGGGCAAUGGGCGCAAGCCUGACCCAGCAACGCCGCGUGAAGGAAGAAGGCUUUCGGGGUGGAAACUUCUUUUGACAGGGAAGAGGAGAAGACGGUACCUGUCGAAUAAGCCACGGCUAACGACGGGCCAGCAGCCGCGGUAAUCCGUAGGGGGCAAGCGUUGUGCGGAUUUACUGGGUGGAACGGGCGUGUAGCCGGGUUGACAAGUCAGAUGGGAAAGCCUGCGGCUUAACCGCAGAACUGCCUUUGAAACUGUUGAUCUUGAGUACUGUAGCGGCAGUCGGAAUUCCUAGUGUAGCGGUGAAAUGCGUCGAUAUUAGGCGGAACACCAGUGGCGAAGGCGGUCUGCUGGACUGCACCUGACGUUGAGGCGCG